CCUACGGGGGGCUGCAGUGGGGAAUAUUGGACAAUGGGGGCAACCCUGAUCCAGCCAUGCCGCGUGUGUGAAGAAGGCCCUCGGGUUGUAAAGCACUUUCAGUGAGGAAGAACGCCUGGUGGUUAAUACCCAUCAGGAAAGACAUCACUCACAGAAGAAGCACCGGCUAACUCCGUGCCAGCAGCCGCGGUAAUACGGAGGGUGCGAGCGUUAAUCGGAAUUACUGGGCGUAAAGCGCGCGUAGGUGGCUUGAUAAGCCGGUUGUGAAAGCCCCGGGCUCAACCUGGGAACGGCAUCCGGAACUGUCAAGCUAGAGUGCAGGAGAGGAAGGUAGAAUUCCCGGUGUAGCGGUGAAAUGCGUAGAGAUCGGGAGGAAUACCAGUGGCGAAGGCGGCCUUCUGGACUGAAACUGACACUGAGGUGCGAAAGCGUGGGUAGCAAACAGGAUUAGAUACCCUUGUAGUC
rnacentral:rRNA from 1 species